UCGGGAAUUUUGGGCAAUGGGCGAAAGUCUGACGCAGCAACGCCGCGUGUAGGAUGAGGCCUCUAGGGGUGCAAACUACUGUCAGCAGGGAAGAAAUUGACUGUACCUGCAGAGGAAGCACCGGCUAACUCCGUGCCAGCAGCCGCGGUAAUACGAAGGGAGCUAGCGUUGUUCGGAAUCACUGGGCGUAAAGCGCACGUAGGCGGAUAGUUAAGUCAGGGGUGAAAUCCUGGGGCUCAACCCCAGAACUGCCUUUGAUACUGGCUGUCUCGAGGUCGAGAGAGGUUGGUGGAAUUCCUAGUGUAGAGGUGAAAUUCGUAGAUAUUAGGAAGAACACCAGUGGCGAAGGCGGCCAACUGGCUCGAUACUGACGCUGAGGUGCGAAAGCGUGGGGAGCAAACAGGAUUAGAUACCCCCGUAGUCCCUGAGCGGGCUGGCAAGGCGCAU
rnacentral:rRNA from 1 species